AGUGUCAAGGGAUGGGAAUCGAACCCACGACCUUCCGCUUAUCGGGCAGAUGCCAUGACCAGUAGGCCACAUGACC
rnacentral:tRNA from 1 species